GUCCGUAGCCGGCUUGGUACAUUCGUGGGCAAAUCAGACAGCUUAACGGUCGAAAUUCUGCGAGCACGGCCAAACUUGAGACCGGGAGAGAUGUAGGGUACCUGCGGGGUAGCGGUAAAAUCCUGUCAUCCCGCAGGGACCACCAGUUGCGAAGGCUCUACACUAGAACGGAUCUGACGGUCAGGGACGAAGCCUAGGGGCACGAACCGGAUUAGAUACCCGGGUAGUCCUAGGUGUAAACGCUGUGGACUUGGUGUCGGGAAUUCUUCGAGGAUUCUCGGUGCCGGAGUGAAGGUGUUAAGUCCACUGCCUGGGGAGUACGGUCGCAAGGCUGAAACUUAAAGGAAUUGGCGGGGGAGCACUGCAACGAGAGGAGCGUGCGGUUUAAUUGGAUUCAACGCCGGAAAACUCACCAAAGCCGAGUGUUCUAUGAAGACCAGCGUAACGAGCUUCUCGGAUUUUCAGAGAGGUAGGCCAUGCCCCUCGCCAGUUCGUCCCGUAAGGCGUUCUGUUAAGUCAGAUACCGACCGAGACCUCCAUCGCCAUUUGUUAGCCCCUUUUCCGGAAAGGGCCCAUUAGGGCGAGACCCCUGGCGUGAAGUCAGAGGAAGGCGGGGCCACCGGUAGGCCAGUAUGCUCGGAUUUCCCUGGGCUCCCCCCGCGCUCUAAAGGCCGGGCCAAUGGGCAGGUACUCCGAGAGGAGAGGCUAUCCCGAAACCCGUUCGUAGUUCGGAUCGAGGGCUGCAACUCGCCCUCGUGAAGCUGGAAUUCGUAGUAAUCGCGUCUCAACAUGGCGCGGUGAAUAUGCCCCUGCUCCUUGCACACACCGCCCGUCAAACCAUCUUAGUUGGGUGUGGGCGAGG
rnacentral:rRNA from 1 species